CAUGGCGGGUGCUUACCAUGCAGUCGAACGGAGGUUAUUUUGAAACUUAGUGAUAGAUAACCUUAGUGGCGGACGGGUGAGUAACGCGUGGAUAACCUGCCUACAUGCCUGGGACAACACCGGGAAACUGGUGCUAAUACCGGAUACGCUCUUGUAUGCACAUGCAUAUAAGAGGAAAGGAGCAAUCCGCAUAUAGAUGGGUCCGCGUCCCAUUAGCUAGUUGGAGGUGUAAGAGACCCCCAAGGCGACGAUGGGUAGCCGGCCUGAGAGGGUGGACGGCCACACUGGAACUGAGACACGGUCCAGACUCCUACGGGAGGCAGCAGUGGGGAAUCUUCCGCAAUGGGCGAAAGCCUGACGGAGCAACGCCGCGUGAGUGAAGAAGGCCUUCGGGUCGUAAAACUCUGUCUUCAGGGAAGAAAAAAAUGACGGUACCUGAGGAGGAAGCCCCGGCUAACUACGUGCCAGCAGCCGCGGUAAAACGUAGGGGGCGAGCGUUGUCCGGAAUUACUGGGCGUAAAGGGCGCGUAGGCGGUCAUUUAAGUCAGAGGUGAAAACUACCGGCUCAACCGGUAGCCUGCCUUUGAAACUGGAUGACUUGAGGGCAGGAGAGGGGAGUGGAAUUCCCAGUGUAGCGGUGAAAUGCGUAGAUAUUGGGAGGAACACCAGUGGCGAAGGCGGCUCUCUGGCCUGUUUCUGACGCUGAGGCGCGAAAGCGUGGGGAGCGAACGGGAUUAGAUACCCCGGUAGUCCACGCCGUAAACGAUGGGUGCUAGGGUGUAGGAGGUAUCGACCCCUUCUGUGCCGUAGCUAACGCAAU
rnacentral:rRNA from 1 species